rnacentral:rRNA from 2 species
GGAUUAGAUACCCUGGUAGUCCACGCCGUAAACGAUGUCUACUUGGAGGUUGUGCCCUUGAGGCGUGGCUUCCGGAGCUAACGCGUUAAGUAGACCGCCUGGGGAGUACGGCCGCAAGGUUAAAACUCAAAUGAAUUGACGGGGGCCCGCACAAGCGGUGGAGCAUGUGGUUUAAUUCGAUGCAACGCGAAGAACCUUACCUGGUCUUGACAUCCACAGAAGAAUCCAGAGAUGGAUUUGUGCCUUCGGGAACUGUGAGACAGGUGCUGCAUGGCUGUCGUCAGCUCGUGUUGUGAAAUGUUGGGUUAAGUCCCGCAACGAGCGCAACCCUUAUCCUUUGUUGCCAGCGGUUAGGCCGGGAACUCAAAGGAGACUGCCAGUGAUAAACUGGAGGAAGGUGGGGAUGACGUCAAGUCAUCAUGGCCCUUACGACCAGGGCUACACACGUGCUACAAUGGCGCAUACAAAGAGAAGCGACCUCGCGAGAGCAAGCGGACCUCAUAAAGUGCGUCGUAGUCCGGAUUGGAGUCUGCAACUCGACUCCAUGAAGUCGGAAUCGCUAGUAAUCGUGGAUCAGAAUGCCACGGUGAAUACGUUCCCGGGCCUUGUACACACCGCCCGUCACACCAUGGGAGUGGGUUGCAAAAGAAGUAGGUAGCUUAACCUUCGGGAGGGCGCUUACCACUUUGUGAUUCAUGACUGGGGUGAAGUCGUAACAAGGUAACCGUAGGGGAACCUGCGGUUGGA